rnacentral:rRNA from 1 species
UACGAAGGGGGCUAGCGUUGCUCGGAAUCACUGGGCGUAAAGCGCACGUAGGCGGACUCUUAAGUCGGUGGUGAAAUCCUGGAGCUCAACUCCAGAACUGCCUUCGAUACUGAGAGUCUCGAGUCCGGGAGAGGUGAGUGGAACUCCGAGUGUAGAGGUGAAAUUCGUAGAUAUUCGGAAGAACACCAGUGGCGAAGGCGACUCACUGGCCCGAUACUGACGCUGAGGCGCGAAA